GACGGAGGAUGCAAGUGUUAUCCGGAAUCACUGGGCAUAAAGCGUCUGUAGGUGGUUUAAUAAGUCAACUGUUAAAUCUUGAGGCUCAACCUCAAAAUCGCAGUCGAAACUAUUAGGCUAGAGUAUAGUAGGGGUAAAGGGAAUUUCCAGUGGAGCGGUGAAAUGCGUAGAGAUUGGAAAGAACACCGAUGGCGAAGGCACUUUACUGGGCUAUUACUAACACUCAGAGACGAAAGCUAGGGUAGCAAAUGGG
rnacentral:rRNA from 1 species